rnacentral:rRNA from 1 species
UUGGCUCGUUCUAUAUGGUCAGUCAUCCAGAUAGCUUCUGGCUUGUAUCCUCCUUGUAGUGUUGCUAAUGUAUUUGGCAACAGGUUACAUGGGAUUGAUCACAGGUUUAGAACUCUUCUUAAGGUGGGAGCGCUUGCUGUUAUUUGGUCGCUUUGGCUAUGUAGGAAUGAUAAGGUUUUUAAUGAUAGAAGUACUUCUCUGAUGCAGGUUAUUUAUAGAUGUACCAGGACUCUUCGUUUAUGGUCCUCUCUACAACGUGUGGAGAAUCGAGACCUGUUUACGGAGGUGUGUACACGAUUGGAGGAUAUGGCGAGGGUUACUUUUACCCAACAUGGGUGGCAGCAUGAUCUUAGGAUUGGCCCACCUUCGUUUUUCAUAAAAGUGAAUUGUUUUGCUUUGGCGACGCUCAAAACGAGGCCCACCUUUACGCUGAACUAUUCGGAUGUAGGUUGGGCGAAUUUCCGAUCACAUAUUUGGGGAUACCGAUACAUUAUUGGAGACUCACAAAUGCUGAAUGGAAACACGUCGAGGAGAGAUUGCAAAAAAGACUUAGCAGUUGGAAAGGUAAACUGCUGUCUGUGGGUGGAAGAUUGGUCCUCAUAA